UACGGAGGGUGCGAACGUUAAUCGGAAUUAUUGGGCGUAAAGAGCUCGUAGGCGGUUUGUUGCGUCGGCUGUGAAAUCCCGAGGCUCAACCUCGGGUCUGCAGUCGAUACGAGCAAACUAGAGUGUUGCAGGGGAGACUGGAAUUCCUGGUGUAGCGGUGAAAUGCGCAGAUAUCAGGAGGAACACCGGUGGCGAAGGCGGGUCUCUGGGCAACAACUGACGCUGAGGAGCGAAAGCGUGGGGAGCGAACAGG
rnacentral:rRNA from 1 species